GUGGGGAAUAUUGGACAAUGGGCGAAAGCCUGAUCCAGCCAUGCCGCGUGUGUGAAGAAGGUCUUCGGAUUGUAAAGCACUUUAAGUUGGGAGGAAGGGCAGUAAAUUAAUACUUUGCUGUUUUGACGUUACCGACAGAAUAAGCACCGGCUAACUUCGUGCCAGCAGCCGCGGUAAUACGAAGGGUGCAAGCGUUAAUCGGAAUUACUGGGCGUAAAGCGCGCGUAGGUGGUUCGGUAAGAUGGAAGUGAAAGCCCCGGGCUCAACCUGGGAACUGCUUUCAUAACUGCCGAGCUAGAGUACGGUAGAGGGUAGUGGAAUUUCCUGUGUAGCGGUGAAAUGCGUAGAUAUAGGAAGGAACACCAGUGGCGAAGGCGACUACCUGGACUGAUACUGACACUGAGGUGCGAAAGCGUGGGGAGCAAACAGGAUUAGAUACCCCAGUAGUCC
rnacentral:rRNA from 1 species